GAAACACUUCCUUUUCCACCGAACAACUGUUCCAGUAUCUCUGGCAGGGAUUUGGCACUGCCUUCACGCCACCCUCGGACAUGGUACCUGAAUGUCCAUCACAAACUGACUGUUGAGUGUGAUUAUCCAGACAGAAUGACACCUGUGUGGUUGGUUCAUACAUUUACAAUGUGAAGAAGAAGGUGGAACUUAUUAUUCCAGAUGGCUCCUUCAGUUUCUGUCUGUAGGCAGAAGAGACAUCCCUGUUUAGAGCAGAAGAACUGACGUCCUUGCAGCUGCAAAUGGAAAUCUCUUCUACUGUGCAGACCCUCUAUGAUUAUUUAGUUGGAGGAGGGAGAGAUUUCUGUCUAACCAAUUCUCCGCAUGCUGCUGUUUGAUGCUGAGAUGCUGUUUGAGUGCAUCUUCACUGAUCUACCAACCCCAGAUGUACAUUUGGGAAAGAGAAUAUGAGUAACUAAGGAGAAAAGAGAAUUACUGUCUACACACAAAAGGAGCACAAAAUAGGCAAUGAUUUGGAAUAGGUGUUGAGGAAACAAAUAGGCCAAGAUCCAAGCUUCCUUCAAAACUUGAAUUCGCUGAAUCAAAUUAAAAGAAGACCUAUCCUUAAUUAUCUUUCUCUGACUCAAAGAGAAGUGCUGGUAGACCAAGGAGUAAGAGGGGAGAGAGUCUUAAUGGAAAUAGAAAGGAUCAGAGCGCUGAACAUGCAUAAACAUGGAGAACAGUUGCUCUACCAAAGAGGACAAGAGAGAAGGCAGCCCUCAGCUGGGGCUGAAAUUCAGAAAGGAGCAUAGGGAUGGACUGAGUGACUGCAUGAAAAAGCAAAGUUACAUGUUGUAUAGCAAAUCUGUGUAACAUCCCUGUUCACCCUGCCAUCUAACAUCUUCAUAGGCUUAUUUCUUCAAUAGGUCUGAUGACAGUCACUUGGUAAUAUUUCAAGAAGAACAAUGAGUAAUAAAUAUUAAAGUACUGCUCCUGCUUUAUUUCAAGUAAAUCACAGAUAACCAAUGAGUUCUGUAUGCCUUGGAUCACAGCAGAGAUUGGUAUUUCAGAAUGAGAAACACAGCAAGAAAAUAAAUGCUGACUACUACACAGCCUGAAUAUCUGGAUGCUGGAUGCCAGGGGUACCAUGAAACAGAUAUUGUAAGAUCUUUCGUGGUAUAAGAAACAAAGAUUGUCCAGAAGAAUUUAAUGACCUUACAUCAUCUCAACCAGUGUGGACUGAUUAUACAGCAAGAUAGAAGCAAAGAAGACUUUCUCCCAUUCGGUUUUCCAAACCUGGUGCUGCUUUUUCCCUGCUGAAAAUUUGCAUGUUUUCUCAGAGCCUGUUUCUUUCUCACAAUAAACAAUGCAAGGCCCUCCUGCCAAAAAAAUGUCCAAAUGCUAAGCAGUUGCUAUUAUAGUCAUUAUUAUAACAGCAACUUUGAGCUGUGUGCUUUUAAAUUAUAAUUAUUUUUACAAAAGAUUUUUAUGUGUCUUGAUUGCAGUAAUUAUGAUCCUACAGUAGUAAAUGUGUAUUUUAAAAGUCAUGUUAGCUUACUGC